CUAGACUGCACUCCUCUCCCUUUCUCUGUCCCCGAGGUCCAGCUCAGUGGCGUGGAUGCUGUUCCCUGGGGCUGAGAUCCUCUGGCUGUAAAGCCCAGCUUCUCCUGGAAGAGACUUGGGAAAAGAGAGCGCCAACGGGUGAAACAUGUGACCGUCGAUUUUAAAAAGAUACAGUCCUUAACUAGUCCAGCCCAACUAGUGUGUGUUAACAGGAGCAGCACCAUCAGAGGCAUUUUGGAGACCCAGGAACAUUGCAGUCCUAAAGAUCUCCUGGUGGCCUUCAAGAGUUCGUGUUCUCAAAGGAGCAGGUGGGCAAACACCUAGUUGGUCACCAUGCAAUGCUGCUGUAGAGGGAACCCAGCCAAGAGCUAAAGGACAUUAUCAGAGAGGACUUCCUAGAGGAAAUGGACUCUACAUUCAGUUGUGAGGACAGAUGAGAGUGUUGAGUAGUGUUUUGCCAGUAUACUUUCGGGGCAAUUUUGGGGCAGACGUCGUGCACCAGCAGUGAGACAUUUCUGUGCAUUUUACUUUCUGGACAUCACCAGGGCGCAUGCGGAAACACGAGGGGGUUUGUGCCUGCAGGCUGGGAUGCUUUAGGACUACCUGAUC